ACUUCGUCCGAGGAUAUUUGUCGGAGGUGUGUAAUUUGGCGAGGAUCAAAACGCAGGUAACUUAGGUUCGGUAAAUAACGUAUGCCAACUUUUCGAUCAAACUCGCUUGGGUUUCGACCCAACUUGUAAUGUUCGACAUUUAUUGAGGUCAUUAAUCAUCGCUCGAUUUGCUCACCCUAUUCGCCCUUCAACGUAGGAAUAACACCGUUCAAGAAAUGGGAAAUUGUUAGCGAUGCUUGGAACUACCCGAAACGCUUGCAACUACUCCGAAGUAAUCGGCGAAAUUACACACUCGAUCGAUGCUUCCGAAAUGGUUGACAUUAUCAACGAAGAAAAAUCACGCGUCGAUAUCGCUCUUUGAAUAACGCGAUACGACGGAAGACGGGCCAUUACGACCCCCCCCAUUCAACGUUGUUAUAUUUGCUCUAUUUUAAUUCAAUCUGAGCACUUGGGAUUUCCGUGAAGCUAGCGGUUCAUUAGACAAAGUAUCGUCAGGUCGAGUCUGGGAGAUAAAUGAAAAGUGGCGAUCGGUAGAUCGUGACUAAAUCAUGUGUCUAGGCGCGGACAAAGGAUCAGGGCUACCCGUCAUGAUAUUCAUUCAUAAUUGAAUUGGGACCGAUGCGAGGUAAUGAAGAAAUUUUCCCUCCGCGCAAAACUUUUAAUUAUACAUAACUUAGCAUCGAUCAUUCCACGAUUGCCGACCCCUUGUUUAUUUGUUAAAUAAAAAAUUCACACGGGACGUCCAACAGUUGUUUGAUUAACCGCAGAAUAAUUGAUCGCACUACAGCCGAGCUCUGUGACGAUUAAAAUCGUCGACGCGACGGUGUAAAUUAGACGUACAUAAUUCCGAAAAAAAGAUGCGAAAUAAAUAAAUAAAUUAAUAAAGAUCCGGGGCAGGGAAACGUUCCGUUUUGUUAUUAAUCGACUCGAUGCGAUGAAAUAUGCAGAAGGCUUGCAUGGGAUAAUAUCUACAUUGAAACGUGAAAAAAAUUAUCCGCGCUCAGAAAUUAUAUGGAACAUAAAUAUGUGGAGUACACAAAACGCCCGGUACAUAUCGAUCAGUCCGACGACUGUCCGUCAUAGUUUCGUAUUCGUGAAAAAGUAAUGACGCCUGUGUUGACUCGACACUUUUAAGUUAUGUAUAUUCAAAGCAUAGCAGAACCGUGCGCCAGUCCGUCGGCAACUAGACGUGUGGGUGCGUCGCGACGUCGACGUCGUCCUUCGACUCAUACGGAAUUAUAUCGAAGUCCGAUUCCGGAAGGGAGUACCGCAAGGAUUCAAAAUGGACGAUCCAUCGCGCGAUAAUCCGCCUCGCCGGCUGCCAAUGCUAGAAAAUCGGCAGCUUCUCUAUAAUCUGGAUAAAAUCGCCAAUAAUAAGGAGGCCGUCGUUAUUGUUCGAAAACCACCCGAUCAUGGAUUCUAAUUCGGAGCAAUUCGAGUUUCGCCAUCAUUUGCGCAGCGACUAGACAGAUUUUUUUUUUCAUUCAACCCAACUCGUCGAUUCAAUUAUUUUCCCAAAAGUUUGGGGUAAUCAAAUAAGAAAUUUUCGAUAAUUGUUUCUCGAUUUUUUGUGAACUUCAUAAUUCCAUAGACAAAGCAGCGAGGUUAUCGCGGGCGAAAGAUCUACGUGCGAUUGAAAAAGUCAGCGAACGAAAAGCGGUGAAAAAAAGAAAAAAAAAAACAAUUUUCUCACUCGCUUGACAACCGUCAUAACGUGUCUACGACUAACUGUGCAGCUGGUGCACUGCAAGUGGCAAUUGGAAUUUCUGUGGACUAUUUUUUGUUUGACUAACGCCGUAAUAAAAGCGAUGUGUAAAUAGAAGUUAGUUCGAAUCGAUAUUACAUGUGCUAUCUACAUUUCUAUGGAACCUGCACGGUGAAAGUAACAAGUAGAAAUUGAUGAUUGUUAUAUCUACGUUUCAUUGAAUUUUCAGAGAAGUAUUUACGCCCGUAGUAACCGAGGGAUAGAGGCAAAGGAAAUUGAGAACAACGCUUCGUUAACGACUGUGAGAUUUACGGUGAGAUAACAUUCGUUGCAACAAUAGAAGCGAACAAUAUCCAUCAGUUUGUUACUUAGAGAUAAUAUACGUGUAUCUAUCCAAAUAGCUGUUAACACUUGUCGGGGAAUUGUCUAUGGGAGUAAACGUGUAAAUUCGAUGUUCUCACCCUCGAAACGUACGUGGAAUCAUAUUUGGCGACGAUAUGAUCGCGCGAAAAAAUGUCAUCCAAGAAAUUCCAGCGGGACGAAAAAAAAAUGUCUAUUCAAACGUCAUCAGAGGUGCCGAAACAUCACGGGAACAUAAUUACCGUGAUUGAAUCUAUUUUCAUUUCAUCCAGUUGAAAUUAAUGUUCAGGUUAAACCAACUGUCGAGUUUUACACCACGAUCCACAGCUGCUACUUCCGUCCACAUCCAAUUAUUAUACAACAAUAUGUAGGGGAAUUUAUCCUGCCGGAAAUGUGAUUUAUACAUGGACACGAAGCAAAACUCAGAUUUUUUAAUUUUUUUCUUCUCAAAUCUUCGUUUUUCAUUCGUGAAAAUUCAUACGAAUUCGUUAUUAUUAUGAAAUCGUAUGAAAAUUCUGCUUUCCCGCGAGAGGCUGUGUGUGUUAAUUUUUUUUUGUUUCUCUUCAUAGUCGCGGUGCGUAAAUGAAUAAUGACGCGAAACCGAUCGAGCGAUAUCAACUGAUAGUUUUCGAUCUUUUUUUCUCUAUUCUCUCAUAGACACGUACGCGGGUAUGUGAUAGACAUGAUUCUGCACGUGUGGAGUGUUCGGUUUCGAUAUGAAAUACACGCGAUGUUAUAAUUGAUUGGCGUGAGCGUGCGGUAUGAUAACAGUUAGAUAUGAUAGUAAAAAUAAUUGAAAAAGUUUUAAAAGUGUGUAACGUGUUUUAACUAUAAUUAAAAAAUUAAUGGUAAUUGACUUUAUAUUUCACACGUAUAUUCACGCGCAUCUCGUAUUCAUGGGGAAUUUGACUUCUACUGUAUUAAAAAAUAGCAAUCAAUUAAUUACUGUAUUGAAGAAUACCAAUCAAUAUUGAGUAAAGAAAAUUAAUGUAAAAGUUUUCUCUAUAUAUCGUCAAUAUCAGUGUGGAGAAUGGAGUUGUUAAAUAUAUGUUGAUGUGUCCUAGGUAUAUGCCAAAACUCAUUUUAUUCAGCUGCAGUUAUAUAUAUUAGCGCAAUGUAUAAAAUAUUGUAAAAAAUAUGUGCAGGAAAAUUUUUUCAAUGUAAGUCAAAAAUCACGUAAUUACUCGAUGUAGAUUGAAUUGUACUUAUGACGUUGUUGAUGACAGUGUGAAUUCCUCUCUUUCUUCGUUGUUUGAAGAAGAUAAAUAAAUGUAUUCAAGUGUA